AAUCCCCAUGGACCAAAUCAACUGCCAAUUUGGAUAUCAUCGAGGCACCUGAAACCUUAUCAUGAGCCUGAUGCUGAGGAAUAGAUUCUGGGAGGAUCCUGAGGAUCCCCCGGUUGCAGCCAUGUUGAGACUGACACUGAGGGGGACCCCAACUGUCACGAGCAACACCCAUCAAAUGCAGCCACCUACCUGGGGACAGAUCAAGAAGCUGUCACAGAUGGCAGAAGAAAACCUAAGAUUGGAGAGGACGAAGGCCCUGAGGUCCAAGAACAUGGAAACCUGACAGUGGACGCCAACAGCUGUGGAGAGAAGCCGGGCGAGAUGCUCAUGCUUCCGUGUGCCCAGCAAUCCUGCUUUAUCUUUUUAAAUAAAGGUGAUUCCUGAUAACA
rnacentral:antisense_RNA from 1 species